CUAGAAAGUCCUAAUGUGUGUUAACCUCUGUGCUCCGUGGUAAGGCAGACUGGCAAAAAUGCCCAACCUUUACUCACAUUUGAGAAAACACUCCCAACAAGAUUGCUUGCUCAAAAAUCGAAGAGGCACCACUCUCCGAAUCUCGAGAGUCAGACUCCCAACAGGAUUACUUUCUCAAAAAUCGAAGAGACACUACUAUUCGAAUCUCAAGAGUCAGAUUCCCAACA
rnacentral:lncRNA from 1 species